CAAUGGCACUGCUGCGACGGGAACUGAAGGGCCCAGACUUUUUCCUGGUUGGGCUUUUCCCAGGAAUGAUCAAUGACUGACGUGUUGCGGUGAAGGAAUUCAUGCAUGAAGCCCUGAGAUCUGCUGCAGUGGAAUGCAUGAAACAAGAAAAUGCAAUAAUCUGAAAUGAGAUGGUCUAAGUGUAAAAAGAAAUCUACAUUACAGGUAUGACUCAAAAACAGGAUCAUCAGUCUAAAUUCCAUGCCUUUUUUCUUGUCUGUGAAACUGGUGGAAUAAAAAGGUUUUGC